rnacentral:rRNA from 1 species
UACGUAGGGUGCAAGCGUUGUCCGGAAUUAUUGGGCGUAAAGAGCUCGUAGGCGGUUUGUCGCGUCUGCUGUGAAAACCCGAGGCUCAACCUCGGGCCUGCAGUGGGUACGGGCAGACUAGAGUGCGGUAGGGGAGAAUGGAACUCCUGGUGUAGCGGUGGAAUGCGCAGAUAUCAGGAGGAACACCAAUGGCGAAGGCAGCUCGCUGGGACGGUACUGACGCUGAGGCGCGAAAGCGUGGGGAGCAAACAGG